rnacentral:misc_RNA from 1 species
GAUGAAGAACGCAGCGAAAUGCGAUAAGUAAUGUGAAUCGCAGAAUUCAGUGAAUCAUCGAAUCUUUGAACGCACAUUGCGCCCGCCAGCAUUCUGGCGGGCAUGCCUGUUCGAGCGUCAUUUCAACCCUCGACCUCCCCUUGGGGAAGUCGGCGUUGGGGACCGGCAGCAUACCGCCGGCCCCGAAAUGGAGUGGCGGCCCGUCCGCGGCGACCUCUGCGUAGUAAUCCAACCUCGCACCGGAACCCCGACGUGGCCACGCCGUAAAACCCCCAACUUUCUGAACGUUGACCUCGGAUCAGGUAGGAAUACCCGCUGAACUUAAGCAUAUCAAUAAGCGGAGGA